rnacentral:tRNA from 1 species
CUAAUACGACUUAUUGGGGUGGCAGAGCACGGUAAUUGCAAGAGAUCUAAGACCUUAUACUCGAAAGUUCAAAUCCUUCCCCCAAUU